rnacentral:tRNA from 469 species
GCGGGAAUAGCUCAGUUGGUAGAGCGCAACCUUGCCAAGGUUGAGGUCGCGAGUUCGAGCCUCGUUUCCCGCUCCA